GCUCGGCCAAUGUAUUCUAAUCCUCCUGUCCAUGGGGCUAAGAUUGUCGCAAACAUUGUCAGUGAUCCAGCUCUAUUCAACGAAUGGAAGGCAGAAAUGGAAAUGAUGGCCGGAAGGAUCAAGAAUGUGAGACAAAAGCUAUAUGACAGCCUCUCUGCCAAGGACAAGAGCGGGAAGGAUUGGUCAUUCAUACUCAAGCAGAUUGGCAUGUUCUCAUUUACAGGCUUGAGCAAAACACAGGUAAUUUCCCUUCACAAGUUGUUACACUCUGUCCAGAAUAAUUUUCUUGUUUGUUGUCCGUUUCAAAAUGAAUCAUGUCAUCCUUCAUUGUUCCUAUGGGACCCUUAUAGUGACAAUCAAAGGGGAUCGCUUACUCUGGUCGCCCUUCCCCACCUUUUUACUUUAAAAAAAGAAAAGAAACUUCCUGUAUAAUCCACCGUGCUAUCAUUGUCUCCUUAGUUAUCUUUCUUCGUUGCCCUUUCAGAGCGAGAACAUGACAAACAAGUGGCAUGUGUACAUGACAAAGGAUGGAAGGAUCUCCUUGGCUGGACUAAAUUUGGCCAAGUGUGAGGAUCUUGCAGAUGCCAUCGUAGAUUCAUAUCACAAUGUCAGUUGAGUCUCGGAGACGAGGAUGAGGUAAUUGUAUUAGGAACCUUCAAAAGUUUUGGCGAGUCCAAUAUUGUCAUGGAAUAUCGGCUUAGCAGAAAUUGGACAACAAUAAUUCAGCAAUAAUGUAUCUCCAGCAACGCUUCAAAAUAAUUGUACUCGAAGUUUCAACUCUUGAUGGGGAUUGAGCCCUUGGUUCUCUGAAAGAGGAAGUUCAAAGAAAAAUUUUGAGUUCUCAUGACAAGGUUUUUUCACUGAUCUGAGUUCAGUUCAGUUGUUGCCUCUUACAAUCUGCUUUUACACCUCAUAAGCACUUCGACAUGCAAGUGCUUCUCUCUUUUCCGUCAGGCAAACUGCCUAUGAAGAUGUGCUUUGAAGGGUUAACCGUGCUGGUGAAAUUCUGCUAAUGGAUACUGAUUAAAUGUCUUGUCCUUGUUGACACAGCCUGAAUCUCCAUGCUUAAUAGUAUCUUGGUACCGCUCAUAAUGCCCUUGUCUUUGGAUGGCAUGGGACUGUUGCUUGAAGAUUUGAUGGAGUUGGAGAUUUCAGAUCCCCCCACUCACCACUUUUAGUCACCACCACACCAGUCGCGACCACGUCUUAAUGUCAACCCCCAUGCUCUUCGACUAUCAUCUGCAUACGCCAAGAUUGAAAUUUGUUAAGAGUCGCCAUGGCUAAUGGAACUUAUAAUUGAAUCUACUUGCACACAACAGUUUUCCGGAAAGGUUGAAUUCUAAAUCAUGAAGGAAAAGGACAGAGCGACCGUCAAAUGAGACUUGAGCUCUUGCGACAACGAAAAUUAGGAAAUAAUGCCAAUGACUGUUUGCCCCAAAAGCUUCAUGAUUCGAAUCUAUGCAACGUAACAUUUCCUGGACUAAUCAUAGAAAUGAGAGCAGACGGAAGCACGGUCAGUUACGUCCGCCUGUCUUCUUCUGUACAGCGGUGUCUCGUUGACUUUGCAAGAACAUGCACCUCUCCCUCUCUCCUAGCAAACCAGUUCUCUUUCAAUAUAAGCUGCGAGUCACCUGUUAUCUCUAUAUGCAGAAAUUCUCUUGAAGAUUUUGUCUGGACCAGUAGUUCCUUGAGACAACCGUAUCUCCAAAUUGUUAAUAAUCAAAAGGCGGUAGGGCGCUGAUCGCUAGCUCCAGUGUUCCCCCGAGCUUAACAGGUACAAGAGGAACGAGGGAGUGCACCACAUCUGUUAUCAGUCGCCGGUAGAUCGGUUCUGGUUGCAGACACAAAACAGCAACAGCAGGUGCCUGCAGAUACAUUAAAACCCAGGUUUCGUAUUGCCAAAGCAGUGAUACUUAGCGCACGGUUUCUUACUUAGAUGGCCAAGUUCUAUAUAAAGCAAGAAGCAGAACUUAUCACAACCUAUUGACCGCAGGUUUAGUAUUGCCAAAGCAGUGAUACUUAGCGCACGGUUUCUUACUUCGCUGGUCAGUAGGUGAUGGAACUAGGAUUAACAUACGAGAAGAUCGGUGGCUGCCACAAGGAGUUCUGGGUGGCCCAGCAAACCGUGACGAACCGGUUACGGUAGCCGAACUCAUUGAUAGGCAAACCAGUGCCUGGAAUAUCCCAAUACUCACUAAUUUUUAUGACGACACUACAGUUAAGGAAAUCCUCACCAUUGUGUUAUGAUAGUUGAAUUCGCUUGGAUAUCCUGAAUGUCCCUCCAUCCUUUAUGCUCUUUUUCAUGUUUUGGGAUUUCGGUCUGCUCUACAGCACUUAACCAGUUUCACUCUAGUCAAAGGAAGGAUUUUCAUUUAGAAUUGCUACUCGUAGGAUCGCUCUAUGCUGCCGUCUGCAGGCUGAUAUUGUUUGUAGCUCGCCAAAUGGUUAGGUUCGCCUUGUGUUUUCCUUCGAGGAGAUCCGAGGGAGCUUCAAAAUUGCUAAAAAUGAGAAUUGGGUGAAAGUAUUUGGACAAUAGCGAUUCGUACAACUUCUCUUAAUCGGAGUAUAGAAAAUUGCAGGUGGCUGUUUCCGGCCCCAAACAACAUUGCUCUGAACCGGAGAGCGAGAGCACCACCUUCUCUAUCAUUCCCAGUUUUUCUAGAAGUCGGCGUCUCCAGAAUUUUCAGAAGAAAAAUCAACUGUCAAGUGAGCAAGUUGAAGAGAGGCUCCAGUUCACUUCUCCAAGUGGCCACUCUGGAAUUGCCUUGAGACAAGAUCAGUCAAUGCCAGCUGUUAUGAAAUGUCAUCUGGAAAAUUAAGUAUGGAGACUUCCUCCAAGCAAGUGCUCUUUUUGGGCCCGUUUAGUUCGGCUUUGGGUAAAAAAGGCAUUGGAAAAAUGCAAAUACUUUUACUAUCAAAAAAGCUAUACCAUUUGAUAAAUUAUAACUUUAAAUAGCAUUGGAAAAUAGCCUUGACAUAAACAUCGUUUGGUAAAACCCACAUUUAAAAUGGGCUUUUGCUAUAUUUCUUUUCUUCUUUUUUUUAUAAAAAUCUGAAAAUUAAAUCAGGUUAGGGUCAGACGUCGAACCGCCACUAGACAUAAACACCGUUUGGUAAAAUCCACAUUUAAAAUGGGCUUUUGCUAUAUUUCUUUUUUUUUAAUCUAAAAAUUAAAUCUGGUUACGUCUAACCACCUCCGGCGGCUAGAUUUGGCCAUCCGAUUGCUAGGUCCAAUCAUCCAACUGCUAGAACUAGCGGCUUGAGGUUGCAUGAACCUCAGGCAAGGUGGCCUGAGGUCGCACGACCUCAGGUGUGGCUUGGAUCGCGACCUCAGGCCCACGACCUAGGCAAUGCCGCUUGAAGUCUAGCACUUAGGCAGUCGCCCGAGUCAUGGGUCGUGCCACUUAGGCGGUGGUUGCUGGGGACGCACGACCCCAUACGGCAAUGACGGUCGCUAGAGAAGCCCAACUCAGGCGACAGAUUGAGAAGACAAACGGCUAUGAUAAAUGAGAAAGAAGAUGAACAAUAACGGGUAAACAAUAAAUUUAGCAUUUUCGAAAUGCUGAAAGCCCAAAAUAGGUCCCUAUCUACAUUGGGCUUUCAGCAUUUGGAGCUAGCAUUUGGCCAAAGAAGUCUCAAAAAUACUUGCCAAACGCUUUGUAUUUUUCCCAAUGAGCUUUGGAGGCCCAAAGCCCCUUGCAAAUGCUCAACCGAACAAGGCCUUUGUGCAGGUGUGUGGAAAAGCAAGAGUAAGGCAAACAUUUGGUGAGAGUACUGUGUGAGAGUGAGUCUCCAAAUGUUGAAAAGGACGACUCCUCCGUGUGGAGUCCACAAAUAAUACAUUGCGUGAGUAGUGUCAGUUCUUAUAAUAAUAAAAGAGUGUUCAUUUGAAUUAUCCAAUUGAGUCCAACAAGCAGUACCAAAGCAAGUGGUCGAGGACCAACAACCCAAGAAUCGGAGCGUGGUACGCGAACAGCGUGGUCAAAGAACAUUGUAUGUAAAUACUGGCUUACUGCCAUAUUUUGUUGCAACACCGAUGCACUCUCUAACCUUUGCAACUUGGUAUCGUUAGAACUGCCAAGCUAUCCCAUGCCUCCUUUGGGGUCUUUGCAUUCUUGAUGUGCUGUAACAACUCAUCUUCAAUAGUCACAACAAAAACAUAUAGAGUCUCAUCCACUUUGAUGUUCCACUUUCUUAACUCGCAAUCAUUCGUAUCUGGUGGUAUUGUCGUCGUCAAUAAUAUUACAUAAGUCUUGACUCAGCAUAACUACCUACUCAUGUUCAAUGGUCAUUGACAUUGUCUUCGCACACGAUCAGGGACCGAAGUGAGGAGCAUAGUCCCAUGAGUUAAAGAGUUGUGGAACAUCAUUUGUGACGCCCCCAAUACGUCACAACUAAUAUGGAACUAAUAUGGCAGUUACCAUUUCCGUUUCGUUUUUUUUUUUUAAACAUGUAAGGGACUAAAUUAAUCAUAGGGUACACCUGACUUUUCGUAAAUAAGACAAUUUCAUUUCUUUUUUUUUUUAUAUAUGUACAUCAGAUGACAAGUGGGAUGCAUUGGGGGAAUUCAAAAGGUUAGUACUACUAACUACACUAUACGUCGAUCACCCAUUCCCACCUAGCUGCAUACAUGUUGCCUAACCCUGGCCCCUGACACCAUCAAAAUCCUCCCAACUCCAAAAAAAACCUGCCUCUCCUCUAUGUUACAGGGCUGCCUUCAUCUCUAGGCCCAUUGGAGAACAAUGGGAAUGGACCCACCAUGCGCCCAUUGACACGAGUGUACAUCCCGACGAACUUGGCGCACGGGCAUACAUCCCGAUGAACCAAGUCAAUAGGCGCAAGGUGGGUCCACUCCCACUAUUCUCCAACGUACAGCGUAGUCAGUAGUACUGACAUUUUGAAUUUCCCGGUGCACCCCACUUGUUGUCCGAUGUACAUAUAUAAAUAAAUAAGAAAUGAAGUUGCCCUAUUUACAAAAAAAAAUUGCAUAUACCCCAUGAUUAAUUCAGUCCCUUAUGCUUCGGCAUGUUUAAGAAAAAAUGAAACAUAAAAGGUAACUACAAUAGUGGUUUUACAUUAGCUGUGACAUACCGAGGCAUCACAGCUCAAAUGGUAUGAGAACCACCUGUGGGUUAUGGCCCCACCACAUUUCCGUUGCGCUUUUCUAAUCAUGCGAGAUUUGAUUCGAAUAAAAACAAUAUCCGAAAAAUCAAGGUCUACGAACUUGUCAUCUUCUCAUGUGAAGUCUAUUAGCACUUUGUAACGGACCAUCAGGGAGGUUGGUGGGAUCGAAAUUCUAUUAAUAUGAAAAGAUGAAGUCAACAAUCAAUGAGUCACAACCUAGCAGGCAGAAGGUCCACUGGUCUAUACUAUACAAAUCGAUCACCAUACUAACAAAGAAAGGCUCAACAAAGAGUUCAUUAAAUUGCAUGCAUAUCAACUUACCUGAGAACCUUUUCAAAAUACAUUAUAGACCCAUAGUGGUAAUAACUUUUUCCAACAGAUAGCCAGUUCAAGUCAAAAAUACCAAAUUCAUAAUCAAUAUAAAUUCAUGCUGCCAUCAUCAUUCGGGGGAAUCCCAUUACCUCCUGAGCAUCUUGCACCCAUUCGGCAUCGCGAGGGCAUCUAGAGGAACCACAUUACACCCCCCACGCAUUUGGGGGAACUUAGUUACCCCUUUAGGCAUUUCUACUAUAACCCGAGGCAUCGUUGUCCCAAGGACCGACAACAUUUUCAGUCACACAUUUACACCAUAAUGCAACAAUUCUAUAAUUCAAUUAAAAGUAUGUUAACGUCACUACUAUUUAGGAAUUCAAGCAUGCAUCUAAUGAAUCAUCAAUCGUUUUCAUCCCCAAGACUAAUAUAAACUCAUCCGUACAGAGUUAAGUGAACGAUAAAGAAGUUCCUACAUCCUAGGCCUAACUAGCCUUAUAGGCAUCCCGCGUGCCUUUAGAUACAAUGGUUGUUGCCUACAUAAACUGUUUAAAAAAAUUAUGAAACUUUAAUAUGAGGUAGACAAGACCUUGAGGGACUUUUUUGUGAGGACUCGUAGUCCAAUUCAGCUCAUACGGUUCUAAAUAAUUUUUGCAAUCCGGGCCCAAAACAAUCAAAAUUUCCAGAACGAAAUUGAGUAGGAAGAUAAAUAUUUCACCCACCAAAUGAUACCUAAAAAUUAUGAAAAUUUAAUAUGCGGUAACCUAGGAUGUACUCUACAACUUUCAUGAAAGACACAUGUUAGAAUUAUGGACCGAAAAAUAUAUGAAAAAUGGAAAACGAAGAGAGGUUGGUGCAAUAAGUCCCAAAACAGAUUUUGAAUCCCAAAUUUUCCAAAUAUAUUUUUGCCGUAUCAAGUCCAAAAUUUGUGCAAUUAAAUUAUGUCGUAGAACAGCCAAUAAGGGUUGAUUUUUAUGAAGAAUUCCCCAUUGAAAUUUGUACCACAUAAGUUGGUACAAAAUUAGCAAAAUUCGCGGUCAGGCUAAAACCGAACCUGCCCUCAGUCCCAGCACGGAUUUAAUUCAGAAUUUCGACUAGCUCAGCCCCGCACGUGCUAAAUAUCGACCAACCAUGCUCCUACUACCCAACCACAAGUUCGAUCAUUUCGAACUCGAUGAUAUAUCUAGGUAACAUGAUCGAAACUUCCGUUUAAACGAAAAUCUAAAUGACGUUCAUGAAUUUUUUAGGAAAUUAUUUUUGUCGCACGACAAACCAUCAAUAUAGGAUAGAACAGAUCUACUUACCUCGGAUCCUUAUGUAUGGCGGUCGUGACUUGGCAAGACAGAGCUGAGGUUGACAGGAGUGGCGUGUGUGGCUGUGAUGGCGAGGGACGGUUUUCGCUAGGGGUGUCAAAAAAACCUGACUCGACCCGACCCGAACACGAAACAAGUAUUAUACUUGUUUCGUGUUCGGGUCAUGUUCGGAUAACAAAUAUAAAACAAACAAAACAAUGUGUUUCGGAUUGGGUCAGGGUUCGAACAUUGUUCGACCCGAAACACGUUAAUUCUAAAUUCCAAACACGCCAAAAACACAAACCCCAAACAGUCAAACACAAACACAUACCUCGUCGGCUCCGCCUUCUUCUCCGAUGAGUGCGCCUUCUCGUGGAGUCCGCUGCCGCCCUCCGAUUGACGCGCCUCCGCCUCGCCGUCGCCGUCGCCACCCCUCGCCGACGCCGGAACCCUAGCCGCCGCGUGCGGCCGACCAUCAUCGACGGCUCGGGGACUGGGUUCACUCGGCAAUCAUGGCGCUCGCUUCUUGCCUCGUUUCCAAGUUUAGAUGUAUAUUUGCUUUAGGCUUGAGCUAAGACACCGGAUAUACCGGUUGUUCCUUUUCUUUUCGAGCUGCGAGGGAGAUUGUUCUUUCGCGUUGUGUGCAGACUCUGUGUUUGCUUCAAUUCCUGAGUGAACUGCGGCGUACAGUUUUUGAGCGAUCGUGACACUUAAGUUAGCGGGUUCCCGUGUCGGCGUAUCUCACGAAGCUUGCUCGCAUCUCCAUGAAACCAUACUGAAGUGAGGAUCAUCCACGGGACAUGAUGGGUUCGGAGGUUGAAACGCUUGAGGAGAGAUUGAAGUCUUCCUUGGUCCAGCUCCAUGCGGAAGGUGCCAUUCUUGAAAGGAUGGUGUACAAAAACAAGAACCAGCAUAGGCGUUGCUCCUAUUUCCAUUAUCUUUUGAAGGUUCCUUUUCUCGCCCACCGUUUGACUGGUGUCAUGACUCAUGACCUACUUUUGAGCUUUUUAAAAUUAGUCAAAAAGGCAUUGGAAUCUGAGAGAUGUCUUAUUUGAAAAAAUGAGAGGGAAAGAUUGAAGUUUAGAUGAAUAGCCGAUGAAGGAUUCGUGGAUCUUAAGUGCUUACUGGUGGUUUUGUUUAUACAGCCUAAAAGUUUUAAACCAGUGCAAUCAGCAAAAGAUUGCGUCAUUUUUUUUUAGGUCGGGAAGCAGAAAUUGGAUUUGGCAAAAUUUUAUCCCUCUUUUGGAAAUGUAAAAAAUUUGGGGCCAGAGUGAUUAAGGUGAAAGCUAGCCCUCUCAACUGAUUGUUAUUAGUGUUCUUUCUGGCACCUUUUCUUUUUACCGUCGUAUGUAUGGCCUGGCCGAGGUUUUUCAUCCCAGCGAUUCCUGGGUUGGCAGGGAAGAGGUUCCUUUUGGGGCUCGUUCUAUUUCAACUCAAGUGGGUAAGAGUCAUGUUAUCUUAAUUUCUCGCGAAUUCAUCUUUUGAUGCUUUCUUAUUCAAGUUUCCUUCCAGUGAGCUGAGAAUUGACCAUUUGUAUUUGUGGAAAUACCUGAUCCUGUGUUUUUUCUCUGUGCAGUAAGGAACAAAUAGAAAAAAUGGGAGGUGAAAACCCAGAACCCGACCCGACCCGACCCUACCCGACCCGAAUUUUCAAUGCGAGUCUAAUGUGUUUCGUGUUCGGGUCGGGUUGGGUCGGGUAGCAUCAAAAUCCGACCCGACCUGACCCAUUUACACCCCUAGUUUUCGCUGCUGUGGUUGUGUUGCCGAGUGAGGUGAGGGACGGCUGAUUUUUUAGGAUGAAAGUGGAAGUAUGAGUGGUGUCUCGUUCUAUUUUCUCUUUGCUCUUUCACCGUCAGUGUAGUCUUCAUCCUGGGGCGGUAAUUUUUGACUCGGCUGUUUCAUUUCGUAAUUGAAGGUAGUUUUUUUUUUUUUUAUUGGUUGUUUUUUUAAACCUUGGAAAUUCCUAAAGUUGUUGGGAGUAUUUGGAUCAAAAUAAUUUAUUUACGAUGAGGUAGCGGCAGUGACUCAGUGAUGUAGAUGCGUCCUCGGAUGAGGUGGAAAUAGUGUCACUCGAUGAUAAUGCUAUGAGGAUGCGAACGGCAUAAUCUAGUGACGAGCUUGCUGAACAGCAUAAUCUAGCGACGAGCUUGCUAAUGUAGCGUGAACCGUCAAACAUUAGGGGCUCGCUAUUUUAUCAAGUGAAAAAAUCCGGAUCUCACAUCAUUGGUGGCGACAACACCAUGCCACCCACAAACAAUGGCAAAUUAAGGAAGUGGAGCAGUGAGGCUCUAUACAUUCUUGUUAUGUCUGUUGAAAAUGAGUUGUUUACAACACAUCAAGAGCUCAAGGUUGUGGCCACUCAGUUCUUGAGCUUACGAUGGCUAUGACUAUUUACUCAAAACUCAAGCAUAGUGACCAGGGCAUCCGUUGGAGCGGCCAUGACUACGCGCAAUGGAGUGGAUGAAAGGAAAAAAUGAACAUGAUGUGGAAUUUGAAUCAUUAAUGGGAUCAUUGGACAAAAUUUGAUGAGGUUAGAUUUGGGGGAAAUUAUGCAAAAAGUUCUAACACUUUAGUCAUUUCAGUUAUAAUUUUUUUUAAUUUUGUUAAUUAAAUCCUAAGUUUUUUCACAUUUUGUCAAUUGAGUCCCCCUGAUCAAUUGUAAUCUAAAAUCACUUAUGUGAACGCCAAUUGUUUUAUGUAACAUGAUCGAUAUUAACGUGAAUUUUUAUAAUUUUUUUAAAUUUCUGAAUAUUUUAUGAUUUUCUUUUUUUCCUUUCUUACUUUUUCUUUUUUCUCUUCUAAGUCCGAUGAAGUUCGGUUAGCCCUUGCAUAUGACUGGGAAGGGUCACACCGACCCUGGCAAACUUGACCAAAAGAAAAAUGGAAAAAUAAAUAAAUAAAUAAUAUAAAAAAAUCAUCCAUGUCGACACUAGCUGUCCUACGUGGCAUUACUGGCGCUCACAUUAGCGAUUACCGACUAAAAUUGACUAAGUGAACUUGAUCGAAAAAAUGUAAAAAUGUUUAAGAUUUAAUUAAAAAGUUUAGGACUAAAUUAAUUAGAAUACAACAAGUUUAAGAUUUUUUAGACAACUUUCCCAUCUGAUUUGAGUGCUGACUAAAAGUUUGUGUGGGUAUACAUAUAUAUAUAGAGAUUUUGUGUUGACAAUUUUUCCAUUGGAUUUGAGUGCUAACUGAAAAUUUAUAAAAUAAUGUGCCAGAAUUUGGACUCACAAAAGAUUGAUAUGAUAUUUUUAAGGGAUCGGGCCCGUAAAAUAGCCACGCAAAAAAAAAAAAAAUGAAUGUUUCGUGUCCGGAACAACAUUUGUUCAGAGCCCUAGGGUAUCGACGUCGGAAGCCACUUGGUCUCAAAAUAAACGCAAAACAGGAUAAGCAUGCGCGGCGAUCCGCUCCAGCGGGCCAUCGCGACGAACCGACGACGAUUCAUCCCCACUCCCAGCGGCCAAGUCAGAGGGAAAGAAUGAUGGUUGAACUGCACGUACGUAAUGCUGACCCCAAGUUUCACGCCUCGAGUUCUCUUGCAGCGCAGCACUUUGGAAUUAGUCAGCAACCCCAGAUCCUAAACCAGUAACACCGCGCGUGCAGAUUACUUUAACAUUUUCUCUCACGGUUAAUUUGAUUUUUUUGCCCAAUACGAAAUGUGAAAAUUUAAUAGGGGAGACGAAUGAAAUCUGAAAAGAUUUGAAACCGAAAACUGCAACUCUAAUACUAUGUUAGAAUUUUGUGAGACCACAAUUGACUAUUUUAAAAAUUUAAGAUAUUAUACAAACACGUGGUUUAAUAUUUAACUACUUUAACGAGAUGAAAGAUAGUUAGGUUAGGUUGUACUAAGAUGGUGUAAUGAUUGUCUUUUUCGUAAACAUGUGAGGAAGGAGCUUACUAAUGGUUUAUUACUUGUCCCAAUUAUAUUUAAAAAAGGGGAGGGAAGAUCUCCACACAUAUCAAGUGGCAAAGGAAAACAAAAGGUGUGGAUCAAAGUUCAGAAUUUAUAUUUGUAAGGCCACAACACCCGGUCUACUCUUGGCACGCCCAGCUUAUAGUUAUGAGAAAGAUGGAUCUAACUUGUACACGAGCCACGAUGCAUUUUGCAACUUGAUAUUCACUAUGUUGUCAUUUGGGGACACAGUCAAUAUACUCAUCCUCCGUAUGACUCAAUGAUGGUCAAUAGCUCUUCGAUGAUUCGAGUCCAACAAAUCAUAUGCCAAAUUGACCAAGUCAUGCCUAGACUUAUUGAGGACUAUUAUAUGAUCUAAGGAAGAUUGGUUUCUGAUGUGGACAUCGAGCCAUAUCGAGGAGGUGGUGCUAGGGACCCAUUGUUUAUUCCUACUGGUUCGAUUACUCGAGCGCGGGCCAAGCAUUUUAGACAAGCUGUUGGCAUCAUGGUUCGUGAUACUUGGCGUGGAAAUGACCUUAGAUCAAAUCUUGAAGAAUCUUGGAAAUCUUGGCGCAAUUUGAUUAUGUGGACACCAAAUAUUUGACCAAGUCAUACAUACAUAUAUAUAUAUAUAUAUAUAUGUAUAUGUGUGUGUGUGUGUGUGUGUGUGUGUGUGUGUGUGUGUGUAUUCUUGUUUAGGAAUAUUCUAGAAUAUGACGCAUUAGAUUUCUAGGGUUGGUUUUAGAGUUUGUGUGGCGGCUAGAAGACUGACUGAAUUUCUUUGGGGGAUAGAUAUAUUUUUAUUUUUGAGAAAAAAGUUGAGAGAUUCUUUUCUACUGUUCUUUUGAGGACUUGACCUUACCAAGGUUCUCUUGUGACGGUCGAUUCGACUUAUCAAGCGAGAUAGCGAAUUCUUUCACUCGUGGUGUCUAUAACGUUGGUUGGUUGUCACGCGUUCGUCAACAGCUCACGUUCAUACCGAGAUUGCCAAUCACAGGUUUGAUUGGAGAUCGAGGUUCACAAUUCGCACCAUCCGGGCCUUCGUAGAAUGAUCUUUCCACAACGAUUCACAUCAUUUUGGUAUCAAAGCUUGCUUCUACAAGGUAUAUUUAUCUUUAAUUUUCUGUUUAUAUUCAAUAAUUUGAGAUUUAUUGAGCUAGGGUUUCGAUUCCAGCCAAUUUAUGGAUCUUAUUGCUUUUGUGCUUUCAUACGUAGUUGUUUACUAUUAGUUUUAACUUUCUCCUAGCAUUUUAAAUUGUAUUUGAGUUCGUCAAAAAAAAAGAGAGAAAGAAAACUCACAAAAAAAAAAAGUGCGCGAGAGAAAAAAAAAACAGAUUCGGCAGAAAAAAAAUAACCAAACAAAAAAAAAUCAAGAAGGCAACUCAUUUGUUAGUGGAUUGAAUUGAAACAAAAUCAGCAGUGAUUUGCGUUUUAAUUGGAAUUUCGAAAGUUGUAUUUGUUAGUUUAAAAUUGUUACUUGCUUAAACAAAAUCAAUAGUGAUAUAAUCAUGUUUAAUUAAUUUAAUUGAUUGUCGUGAGGGGGUUGAGAGACAGGUUUUGAGUCCGAUAAAGAGCUUGUGAAAAGAGAAUAUGAGAGGGAAAAGGCAAGAGUGUGUAAGCUUAAUUUAGGGUGGAAAAAGCCUAGACUUGAGUUAAACACGAGGGGAGUGACAAACACCUUAAGAGAAACACGUGAGGGAGUGAUUGGUGAGUAUUUUUUGUGACUAACAUUUACUUGCAGGUCUAAAAUAUGUCGUGCGAAGAAAGCGUGAAUCAAAGGGAGGUUGACUCUAUACGAAGGGAUGAAGCACUCGUGGAAAGCAUCCAAUAAUUGAGGGUCAUAGUGGAGGAGCUUAGUGGCCGAAUGAUGGGUAAUGGCAUGAGGGUUAAUGGUGACGGAGAGCUACCCAGGGAAGGCCGCAACAUCAACGAGACACCUCUAGAACACGACAUAGAAGGCAACGACAUUAUGAUGAUGAUGAGGCUGACAUGGAGGAUGAUCGAUAUGCUUGAUUUGAAAUGUGGAAUGGAGCCUGAGGGUUUAGACACCGAGAAGAUAAUAAACUUGGCAAUAUCAAGAUGAAGAUUCCUUCUUUCCAAGGGAAGAAUGAUCCUGAUGCGUAUCUAGAGUGGGAGAAACGCAUGCAGAUGGUAUUUGAUUGCCAACGAUACUCCAAGCUCAAAAAGGUAAAAACUGUAGCUGUUGAAUUUACUGAUUAUGUUAUAAUUUGGUGGGAUCAACUUGUGACUAGUAGGAGGCGCAAUGUUGAAAGACCAAUAGAGACGUGGGAUGAGAUGAAAGCGGUGAUGAGGAGGCGUUUUGUACCAAGUCAUUACCAUUGAGAUUUGUUUCAAAAAUUACAAAAUCUCACACAAGAUAAUAAGAGCGUGAAAAAGUAUCACAAAGAGAUGGAGAUUGCCAUGAUCCGUGCUAAUGUGGUGGAGGAUCGUGAGACCAUAAUGUCGAGAUUUUUGAGUGGUUUGAGCCGAGACAUAGUAAGGGUGGUGGAGCUGCAACACUAUGUUGAAUUGGAGGAAUUGGUGGACAAAGCCAUUAAAGUUGAGCGGCAAUUGAAGUUGGACCGAAAUCACAAGAGUGGAGGAGGUUCAAAUCAGAAUUGGAGAUCCAAUUGGAGGAAAGAUGAGAAGCCAAAUUGGAGAGGAAACAACAUAAAAAACCGAAACCUCAAAGGAGAAGGAGAGGGACGGUAAAGUUGGAACGAAUCUGGCUUCAAGUAAAACCGAAAACCCUAACACUAGAACUCGUGAGAUUAAAUAUUUUAAGUGUUUGGGUAUAGGUCAUAUGGUGAAUCAAUGCCCUAAUAGGAGGGUGAUGAUCAUGACUGGACAUGGUGUUAUUGAGUCUAAAAGUGAAAGGGAAGAAGAGGAUGAUGAGAUGCCACCGUUGGAGGAUUGUAGUGAUGGAGAAAUAGCAAUAAAAUGAGACUUAUUGGUGGUUAGACGAUCUCUUAGUGUGCAGGUAAAGGAGGAGGAGCAUCACCAACAAAGAGAUAACUUGUUUCAUACAAAAUGUAUGGUGAAUGGUAAGAUAUAUAGUUUGAUAAUUCAUUGAGGUAGUUGUGCAAAUGAGGCAAGUUAUAUUAUGGUGGAUAACUUGGGUUUGAAGACAACAAAGCACCCUAGGCCUUAUAGACUUCAAUGAUUAAAUGAUAAUGGAGAGGUGAAAGUGUCGAAGCGAGUUCGAAUCCCAUUUGAGAUAGGGAGAUACAAGGACGAGGUAGAGUAUGAUGUUGUACCUAUGCAAGCGGGUCAUAUCUUACUUGAAAAACCAUGGCAAUAUGAUCGAAAGGUACAUCAUGAUAGGUAUACUAAUCGUUAUUCAUUGGUGAUGAAUCAAAAGACUUAUACUUUGGUACCAAUGACACCUAGUGAGGUGUAUCACGAUCAGUUAAAUUUAUAACGAGAAGCCAAGAGAGAGAGAGAGAGAGAGAGAGAGAGAGAAAAUGUGAGAAAUCCGAGGGCUUACGUGGUGUGUCUGAGACGCAAGGAAAAGGAGAGGUCGAGAGAAGGAUUGUGGUAAAAACCGAGAGAAAAGAAGAGAGAAAAGAAAAUAGGCAAAAGAAUUUUUAUGCAAAAUCGAGUGAGGUGAGGAGAGCUUUAGUUCUAGACCAACCGAUACUUAUACUUUUGUACAAUGAGGUUUUGUUUUCUACUGACGAUCUUGACCCAAGUUUGUCUAGUCCUAUUGUGUCAUUAUUGCAGGAAUUUGAAGAUGUCUUUCCUGAUGAACUUCCUAGAGGGAUACCACCGAUUCGAGGCAUAGAACAUCAAAUUGACUUGAUUCCUAAUGUGCCAUUACCUAACCGACCCGCAUAUCGAAGCAAUCCCGAGGAGACAAAGGAACUUUAGCGGCAAGUUAGCAAACUAUUGGAACGGGGUAUGUGAGAGAGAGUCUUAGCCCGUGCACCAUCCCUAUUUUGUUGGUGCCAAAGAAUGAUGGAACUUGGCAAAUGUGUGUCGAUUGCUGAGUAAUCAAUAACAUUACGGUAAAAUAUCAACAUCUUAUUCCUAGGUUAGAUGACAUGUUGGAUGAGUUGCAUGGUUCUUGCAUUUUCACUAAGAUCGAUUUGAAAAGUGGCUAUCAUCAAAUUAGGAUGAAAGAAUGUGAUGAAUGGAAAACUGCAUUUAAGACUAAGUAUGGAUUAUAUGAGUGGUUAGUCAUGCCAUUUGGAUUAACUAAUACACCAAGCACGUUUAUGCGACUUAUGAAUCGUGUUUUGUGUGCUUUUAUUGGUCGAUUUGUGGUUGUCUAUUUUGAUGACAUCUUGAUAUAUAACCGAAGCCCUGAUGACCAUAUUGAGCAUGUGCGAGCUGUUUUACAGGUUUUAAGAGCCGAGCAAUUAUACACUAAUCUAAAGAAGUGCUCUUUUGUUACCAACAAAUUAGUAUUUCUAGGAUUUAUUAUUAGUGUUGAUGGUAUACAGGUUGAUGAAGAAAAUGUCAAAGCAAUUCGUGAAUAGCCAACGCCUAAGACCAUAGGAGACGUGCGUAGCUUUCAUGGAUUGGCAAGUUUUUAUCGGCAAUUUGUGAAAAAUUUCAGUACCAUUGUCGCAACUUUAACUGAGGUUAUCAAUAAGUACAUAGGUUUCACGUAGGGGUAUGCAAAAUACCCGGGAACCGCCCGGAUCGCCCGGAACCAAAUCAGAACCGCCCGGAACCGGCGGUUCUUGAGAGAACCGGUCCGAUUCCCGGUUCCAAUUUUUCGGAACCGGUGGGUACUAGUCCGGUUCUCGGUUCCAUGGGCGGAUCCGCCCACCCGGACCGGACCGGAACCUUUUUAAUAUUAAGAAAAAAAUACUAAAAGAAACCCUAGAUUAGAUCUCAUCUCCUCACUCCCUUCGUCUUUGGUUCUCUCUCUCUCUUUGUCUCUUCCUCGAUUCCUCUUAAUCUCAUCGCCAUUUCGAUUCCUCCCCGAGCGUUGACGCCACCGUCGCUGCUCCUCCGCCGCUGCUAUUCACCCCCUCGCGUCGGUCGCCACCCGCCACAGCCGCGGAAAAUUGUUUCGUGAUCGUUCUAUGUUGAAAACCUGACCAUAGACCUCCUCCCCUCCUUCCCAACUCAUAGACCCAACCGUUCUAUGUUGAAAACCAAAAUUGUUUCGCAUCAAAAUCAGUUCCAUUGAUUCACCCGAGAAUCAGACCGGACCGGCGGUCCAGUUCCCAGGUGGAUCCAUGUAACAAACGGGUGGAUCCCGGUUCCAAUUUUUCGGAACCGGUCCUUAGCGGGCGGUUCCUGGUUCUAGGUCGGGAACCACCUGCCCGGACCAUGCACACCCCUAGUUUCACGUGGGGAAAAGAGCAAGAAAAAGCAUUUACUCUACUAAAGAAUAAGUUGACUAAUGCUCCUUUGUUAUCUUUGUCGAAUUUCAGUGCUACUUGUGAGAUAGAGUGCGAUGCUUCUAGUAUAGAAAUUAGAGCCGUGUUGAUGCAAUAAGGGCGUCCCAUAGCUUAUUUCAGCGAGAAAUUGAGUGGAGCAAUAUUGAAUUAUCUUACCUAUGAUAAGAAGAUGUAUGCUUUAGUGUGAGCUUUGGAGACUUGGCAACAUUAUUUAUGGCCGAAGGAGUUUGUGAUCCACACCGAUCACGAGACCUUGAAGUACUUGAAAGGGUAACAAAAGUUGAAUAAAAGACAUGCCAAAUGGAUGAAGUUCAUCAAGACUUUUCCAUAUGUGAUCAAGUACAAGAAAGGUAAGGAGAAUGUGGUAGCCAAUGCACUUUUUCGAAGGUAUGUGAUUCUAACUACUUUAGAAGCAAAGUGUCUAGGUUUUGAGCAUAUCAAUGGCUUAUAUACUGAUGAUGAUGACUUUGGGAGAGUGUUUGAAGCAUGUGAGCAUGUUGCAUUUGAUAAAUUCUAUAGGCGUGAAAGUUAUUUUUUUCGUGAAAACAAACUAUGUUUGCCUAAGUGUUCUUUGCGUGAAUUGUUGAUGCGAGAAGCGCAUAGUGGUGGUUUAAUGAGGCAUUUUGGCAUUAAUAAGACUUGUGAAGUAUUGCAUAAACAUUUUUAUUGGCCACAUAUGAAGAAAGAUGUCACACGUGUCUGUGAGAGAUGCAUUGCUUGUAAGCAAUCAAAAUCUACAACUAAAUCGCAUGGCUUGUAUACACCAUUACUUAUUCCAACGCAUCCUUAAAUUGAUAUUUCUAUGGAUUUUGUGUUAGGAUUGCCUAGGUCUAAGUAUGGUAGAGAUUCUAUUUAUGUGGUUAUUGAUUGGUUUUCAAAGAUAGCUCAUUUUAUACCUUGUCAUAAAACUGAUGAUACAUCUCAUGUUACUGAUUUGUUCUUUAAGGAAGUUGUACAUUUGCAUGGCAUGCCUAGAUCGAUUGUUUUAGAUCGAGAUUCUAAAUUUCUUAGCUACUUUUGGAAAACAUUAUGAAAAAAACUAGGAAUACGGUUGUUAUUUUCUACUACUUGUCAUCCACAGACUGAUGGUCAAACUGAGGUAGUUAAUAGAAAUUUAGGGGUAUUGUUGCAUGCUAUUAUUAAAAAGAAUAUAAAUUCUUGGGAAGAUUGUCUGCCACAUGUUGAAUUUGCAUAUAAUAGGAGCAUGCAUUCUGCUACUAAAUUUAUACCAAUUGAAGUUGUCUAUGGUUUUAAUCCGUUAACUCCGUUAGAUUUAACCCAUUUACCUGUUAAUGAGCAUGUGGAUUUAGAUGGAGCAAAGAAAGCCGAAUUUGUCAAGGCGUUGCAUGAGAAGACGCACGCAAAUAUUGAGCGCAAGACUGAACAAUAUGCAAGGUAAGCCAACAAAAGGCGCAAGGAAGUGGUGUUUGAACCUAGUGAUUGGGUUUUGGUUCAUAUGCGCAAGGAGCGAUUUCUUGAGUAGCGACAUUCUAAGUUAUUACCGCGAGGGGAUAGACCAUUCAUGGUGUUAGAAAGAGUUAACAAUAACGCCUACAAGCUUGAUCUUCCAGGUAAGUAUGAUGUCAAUACUACAUUUAAUGUUUCUGAUUUGACUCUUUUUUAUGCAAGUGAUGAUUUGAGGGCAAAUCCUUUGCACAAGGGAGGGAAUGAUGUGGACAUCGAGCCAUAUCGAGAAGGUAGUGCUAGGGACCCAUUGUCUAUUCCUACUAGUUCGAUUACUCAAGCGCGGGCCAAGCAUUUCAAGCAAGCUGUUGGUGUCAUGGUUCGUGAUCUUCGGUGGGAAAAUGACCUCGGAUCAAAUCUUAAAAAAUCUUGAAAAUAUUAGCGCAAUUUGAUUAUAUGGACACCAAAUAUUUGACCAAGUCAUAUAUAUAUUCUUGUUUAGGAAUAUUCUAGAAUAUGACACAUUAGAUUUCUAGGGUUGAUUUUAGGGUUUGUGUAGUAGCUAUAAGGCCUAUAUAUAGAUUGACUUAAUUUCUUUGGGAGAUAGAUAUAUUUUUAUUUUUGAGGAAAAAGUUGAGAGAUUCUCUUCUACUGUUUUUUUAAAGACUUGACCUUAUCAAGGUUCCCUUGUGAUGGUCGAUUCGACUUAUCAAGCGAAAUAGCGAAUUCUUUCGCUCGUGGCAUCUAUAACGUUGGUUGGUUGACACUCGUUCGUCAACAGGUCAUGUUCAUACUGAAGUUGUCAAUCACAGGUUUGAUUAGAGGUCGAGGUUUGCAAUUCACACCAUUCGGGCCUUCAUAAAACGAUCUUUCCGCAACGAUUCACAUCAGUUUCGAGAUAGGCAGGUUCAAACCAAAAACUUGGAGCUUUGUCAAAUUCAGUCCUUGAUCCUUAUGUGAGAUUUUUUGUGGAUCAUUUAAGAGAUUUGGGGAUGACUAUUUUAAAUUAGUUAGUAAUGAUUCUCACAAAAUCUCACAUAGUAUCAACGCUAUAAAUCCUGAGUUCGAAUUCUUCCAAAUCUCAUUUACCUUUUCAAUUAAAUUUUCAAGCUUAGUACUAGGUUUAAAAAAAAAAAGGACCAAAUUGAGCAUACGGAGAAGUGUUGAAGUACUUAAACAUAAAAACAUACAUUCAUCUAAUAGUUUUAACUUUUAGAAUCAUUGACAGUGAUCAUCAUAAAAUCUUGCACAUUCAUAUGACGAAGCAGACUAAUUCUCUUGAUAAUCAACUUGGAAUUGCAUUGGCCAGUUGUAGAGUCAACCCAGAAAUCAUACUUCGGAAAAAUAUCAAAUCAACCAUGAAUGGGGAAAUCUCUUCGUUUUGGUAAGAUCCGCUAACCUUACGGAAAUCAUUUCCUGGGGGCGAACCAGAAACGGGUGGCCAAGAUUUAUUUCCACAAAUUGGCAUGAAGUUGUCUCUCAUGAAUGCCUAGCCUGCCUAAAGAAGAACCCUUCCGCAUUUGACAAGGCGCGCCAUCUGUGCAAGCGAAAGAGAACAGAAAGCAACCAAACAAGGACUCGAAAUGACAACCUUAAUCCACCCACCCCAAAAGGUCUAACGAGUGGACAAGAGCCGCCUACGGAAGACAGUAUACAGAACGUAUGCGAAAUUGUACGCCUGGUAUCUACCCACAUGCAGCGUGUCUGAAUAGUCUAUGAAUGAUCUCAUGUCACCUCCAUCAUGUUUAUUCCUGCAACGUAAUCUAAUCACACCUGCCUGAAAAUCCAACUAAAACAAAGCAGCCCACUGGUUUCAAGAGAUUGAAACUAUUAAUUUAUCAGAGGAAAACAAAGCAAGAAAGAAACGCCAACUAAUAUCUAACCAGCGAUUCUGUUGGAAAUUGUGAUCCAUUUUCUAAAACUAUCUAAAAACUAUUAAGGGUGCGUUUGGUAACGUUUCUAUUUAAAAAUUGUUCCAAGAAACAGCAAAAAAAAAAAAAAACUAUUUUUGUUUCAAAAAACAAUUUUUUACCAGAAGAAAGCGUUUGGUAACUAUACAAAAUUUAUGUUCCUAGAAUAGAAAAAGAACGAAAACACGUUUAGUAAACUUGUAUAAUUUUUUUGUUUCUUUUAAUUUUUUAAUUAUUUUAUUUUUUUUUUCCUUUUUUUUUUUUUUCUUUUUUCCUACUUUUGGUCGGUCGCCAGCCUCAGUCAUGGCCGACAAGGGCCGGUAGCCUCGCCCAACCACCGGCGAGGUUGAGCCUCGCUAUGGGCCAACGACGCUCCGGCGAGGUUGCCGGCCCUCGACAGCCGAUCGCCAGCCAUGGUCGAGGCCAGCAACCGGCCAAAGAAAAAAGAAGAAGAAAAGAAAAAGAAGGAAAAAAUAGGAGAGAGAAAAUUUGUUUCUCGAAAGUGUUCCGGGAACAAAAAACGAGUUUUUCUUGUUUCUUGUUUCUGUUCCAAAUUUGUUCCCUGGAACAGAAUCAAGUCCCGAGAACAAAAACGUAAACAAACGCGUUUCUGUUAUUUUUUUGUUCCCCGGAACACAAAAACAAAAAUUGCGUUCAUGACAAGAAAAAAGAAAACAAACAAACGCACCCUAAACCUUCGCAACAGCAUCCACGUUGAAGAAUAGUUGAGAAUGGAGGUUGCUAGCUGAACCUAGAAGAUUUAUGUGGAAAUGCGAGCAAGCAGAAGCCAAGUUGAAGAAAAAUCCUAGAACAAGCUAAAGAAGUCUACGUGCAUGGGAAAUCUUGAAAAUAAGUCAACAAUGGUUGCUUAACCAUGAAGAAAGAAGGAUCAAGAGUAUGUGGACAGAGUACUUGGAGAAGAAGAAAAUUAGUUGUCUUACAACUAUACUAUGGUGGUGAAAAAAAGUCAAAAGUUGCUCUAUAAAUAGAGCCUAGAAUCAUUCAUGUAGCAUGGGUGAGUGGUGAACCCUCCACCUUGUGUGAGUGAAUCCUCCACCGUAAGCGUGAUCAUGUGAGGAGAUGAGCUUAAAAAUCUCCAUCAAACUAUUUUGUUCAACUAAUGAAAUUAUUUCCCCCAUAUCUCAUGUCCUUCAAUUAUCUUAUCUUGUCUUUUGUCCAUCGUCUAUAAACUAUACGAUACACUUGCACACAUCACUAAUAAAAAACUAUCAUCAAUACCAAAAUCAUGUUUCCGCAUGCACACAUCCAAAAAUUUUAACAGAUUCAACAGAGCCUCGCCUUCUCGUCCCCUCUUCAGUUCUAUCGUCACUCUCUCUCUCCAGGUGGGUUCUUUGUUAUGUUCUUGAUCCGUCUGCCAGCUCUUCUAGUCUAAAGUUUUGAACUUUUUCCUGUUCAUUUCGUUUUUGCACUCGGGUUGUUGAGUGCUGAAUUGCGCUGGUUGGAUCUCUUGAUCGUCAUUUGAUAGUCUCAGAUCAAUUGGGUAAUUGACUGAUCGCUCUGAAUCUGCGUUUCUUGCAGCUUUAGCUCGAUACGCAUCAGUUUGGCUGCGGAGUUCGUCAUUCUUGAGUCAGAUGGCCUCCGCAAUGCUCUCUUUUGCUUCGGCUGUGGCCUCGGCCCCAGCUUCACUGUCGGUGCACGAACAUCUCAAGGUACUUCUUAAUUUCGUUUUCUUGAACGUAGUGAUUUCAUCUCGUGGAUCUCUCUUCUGGUUUCUUUUGCGAUGGUUGAAUUCGAAAGGUGUGCUUUUUCCUUUUUCUCUGUUUUUGCUGUUUUCACGGUGGUGUGUCAUGUUUUCUCUUUAUAUAUUUCAAAUGCUUGAUUUGGGCGAAUCACACUGAUCUUGUUUGCUUUCAUUAGGGGAAAGCAAAGAUUGGAAGUGCCAAUUUCAGAAGUAGUGUGCCAGAGAGAAACCCAUUUGCCAAAACUAAGGUAUGGUGCUUGCGAUCUCCUGUCAUUCGUCAUCUCUUCAGUUUUUCAGUUCUCUAACUUGGUUUUGCUCUGGUGUCCUCGCUAUGAGUUGACUAUGAAUUAUACGUCUUGAGCAUGCUUCGUUUGGCUGGAUAAGUGGUAUGAUUGUGUCGGAGAUAUGGCCUUAUUACUUCCGUUCAAGUUUCAAUUUUGUCCUUGUUUCUCUUCCUGAUUUAUUGGAUUGUAAAUACUGUCAUACUUUUUUUUUCCUAGUGACUGGUGAAAUCCUGUUCAUUCUUAUUUCUGGUUUUGAAGGCAAGCACGCUGUGGGAGAUUGGUUAUAACUUAUGCGUUUGGAUGUGUAGAGUCAAUCAUCAAGUCUCUUACGGUUGUAUCUAGUCAAUUUGAUUUCUGAGUUUAUAUCAUCUCAUCUACGCAGCAUUUUGGUCGGGUAUCUAUGACUGUUGCUGUUAAUGUUUCGCGAUUCGAGGGCAUAACAAUAGCCCCUCCCGACCCGAUUCUUGGGGUGUCUGAAGCCUUUAAAGCAGACACAGAUGAAAAGAAGCUCAACCUUGGAGUCGGGGCGUAUCGGACGGAAGAAUUGCAGCCUUACGUGCUUAAAGUUGUCGAGAAGGUGAGUUUUCUUAAUCUUAAUUAGGCAGUGAAUGAUUCAUUAUUUCAACAUGGUUCAAUGCUCUCUUUCUUCAGUGAGCUUCAUUUUCCUUAAAGAAUAGAAUUCAUGCUUAAUGAUUUAGGGUGCGUUUAGUUUAGCAUUUUGAAAAUCCAUUGGCAAAAUAAAAAGUGGGUUAGCCUAAAGAACUUGAGACAAAUGCAAAAACCGUUUGGUAAACUAUGCUAUGAGAAGUAACUUUGAAAACACAUUUGAAAAACCCUUUGAGCGAAUAAUAUUAGCUUUUUUUUUUAAUUUCAUUUGUAUUAUGCAACUUUUUAAAUAUAAAUUUUGACAAUAAUACUAAAAAAAUCAAAUGCACAUAUAAUUUUUUUUUUAAAAGACCAAACCCUUCAUUGGAAUUUUUUAAUUUUUAUUUUCUUAAAAUUGAAAAAAAAAAUGUAUGAAUUUUUUAAAUAUAAAUUUUGACAAUAAUGUUAAAAAAAUCAUAUAUAUAUAUAUAUAUAUAUAUAUAUUUAAAAAACCAAAUCCUUCGUUGAUUUUUUUUUUAAAUUGAAAAAAUAAUGUAUGCAAAUUUUUAAAUAUAAAAUUGAAAAUACUGCUAAAAAAAUCAAAUACAUAUAUAUAUUUUUUAAAGACCAAACCCUUCAUUAUUUUUUUUAAAUUUUUAUUUGUUUAAAAUUAAAAGAAAAAAUAUGCAACUUUUUAAAUAUAAAUUUUGACAAUAAUGCUAAAAAAUAAAAUACACAUAUAUAUAAUUUUUUUAAGAAGACAAAAUCCUUCAGUCAAAAUUUUUUAAUUUUAUUUGUUUAAAAUUUUAAAAAUAAUGUAUGUAACUUUUUAAAUAUAAAUUUGAAAAUAAUGCUAAAAAAUCAAAUACAUAUAUAUAUAUAUAUAAUUUUUUUAGAAAAAAGACCAAACCCUUCGUCGGAAAUAGUAAAAAUAUCACGACAAAGAUGACUAAUGAACAAAGUCGACAGGAGGGCAGACAACAGCCUCUCUAAAAUAAUCAAAUAUAUAGGAUAAAAAAAAUAAAAUAUAUAAAUAAUUUCUUUCUAAAAAGACCAAAACAUAUUCAAUUUUUUUAGCAUUAUUUUGGCAUUUAAAAAAAUAAUAACGAUGGCAAAAUAAGAAAUUUGGAGAACGGGUGAUGAUAGUUUUGGAAAAAUAAAAAUAAGUUUCAGCAUUUAGCCAAAUGCUAAAAACUCAAAGCUAGUGCCUAUUAGCAUUGGGCUUUCAGCCUUUACAAUGCCGACUUUGACUUGAAAGUUACUUCAAAAUGGUUGCCAAACGGUCUAGUAUUUCCCCAAUGGGCUUUAAAGGCUGAAAGCCCAUUGGAAAUGUUGAACCAAACGCACCUGAGAGCUUCUUAUCUGUUUUUUGUUUUUUCCUCUAGUCAAGUUGAUCUAACCGUGGAUUUUACUACUCUGUGUAGGCUGAGAAUCUCAUGCUGGAGAGAGGGGAAAACAAAGAGGUACACAUUUCUCUGAAUUAUAUUUGAUCAUGUGGUGUCACUGUAUCGAUCUGAGAUUAUUCUGAUAUAACUUUGAUCUGCAGUAUCUGCCAAUUGAAGGUUUGGCCGCAUUUAAUAAAGCAACUGCAGAGUUAUUGUUUGGAGCAGACAACCCAGUGAUAAAGCAACAGAGAGUAUGUCUGCAUUAUGUGUUAACCGACCUCUUUGCAUAGAGUUUCCUUGGAAAACUACAUCUUUUGCAAUUCUUUACCAGGUUGCAACCGUUCAAAGUCUUUCGGGGACUGGUUCCCUUAGGCUGGCUGCUGCUCUUAUUGAGAGGUACUUUCCUGGAGCGAAGGUGUUGAUAUCAUCUCCGACUUGGGGUAUGUGCUAUUGCCCGUGGAACUUUUUUUUUUCUUUUUUGUAAUUAUCUUGGUAGGUUAAAAUUGUUAUGUCAACUACAAUUCUGCAGGAAACCACAAGAAUAUUUUCGAUGAUGCUAGAGUUCCAUAGUCUGAAUACCGAUAUUACGACCCAAAGACAGUGGGCUUGGAUUUUGAGGGGAUGAUCGCUGACAUUAAGGUUGAGUCCUUAUAAUGAAUGAUGCCUGCUUAACCUCAUCUUUACUAAGUUGAAUAGCAUGUCCAAAUUAAAACCUAACGAGGGGCAUGGCCCUGUUUGUUCAGGAUGCGCCAGAAGGAUCUUUUAUCUUGCUCCAUGGCUGUGCUCACAACCCAACUGGCAUCGAUCCAAACCCUGAACAGUGGGAAAAGAUUGCCAAUGUCAUUCAAAAGAAGAAUCAUAUACCUUUCUUUGAUGUUGCUUACCAGGUAUUAAUCACUUGUGAUCCGAGAUUUAGUCUAAUCGAGUGUCCUACAUACCCUCAGAUGCAAUAAGGAUGUUGUAACUCAAAGAAAGGGCUUCUUCUUUUCAAAGUGCAGAAUCUUUUAACAGACUGUAAUAAAUUUAAUUUUGUCCUUCUUGGAUGUUCUUCUAUUAAUUUUAUCUGGACUACCAUAUGCAUUAUAGGGAUUUGCAAGUGGAAGCCUUGACCCUGAUGCUGGAUCAGUGAGACUGUUUGCUGCUCGAGGCAUGGAGCUUCUGGUGGCUCAGUCUUACAGUAAGAAUCUGGGUCUUUACGCAGAGAGAAUUGGAGCAAUCAAUGUUGUCUGCUCAACUGCAGAUGCAGCAACAAGGUAUAUGAAUCUUUGCUCUUCACAUGAUGAGAACAUAGUUUGCCUGCUUAUCUUACUUCUAUGCCCAUUCCAUGCUUUCAAGAAUAUGCUAUGUAAGUUUGUCCAAAUUUUUUGCUGACCUCAGCAAGUCCAAUAUUAUUCUUAUGUUCCAUUAGAAUGGGCAAUAGAAGAUCUUUGUCACAAUCAUUCCUUUGCAUAAGCGAUUGCAAGGGUGAAGUAAUUGCAGCCUGUUUGUUUGGUGUAAAGUAUGUGUUAAAUAUGAUGGGGCUCCCUCUAAGAACAUUAUAAGGUUUAAAGCAACCUGAAUAACUAGAAUUUUUGUUUGCUAGAAAAAACUGACAAAAAUUUUUGGCAACACUGUGGACAGUGAUCUAACCCUUGAUAUUGCUGGAGAAAGGUGUUGGUAGAUUAGAUGAGCUUCUUCGAGCAGCUUAUGGUUUUUAAUGGCAUAUUGCUUCCACUAAUAUCACGAUGCCCUACAUUCUCAGGGUGAAGAGCCAAUUGAAGCAGCUUGCUCGGCUAAUGUAUUCUAAUCCUCCUGUCCAUGGGGCUAAGAUUGUUGCAAACAUUGUCAGUGAUCCAGCUCUAUUCAACGAUUGGAAGGCAGAAAUGGAAAUGAUGGCCGGAAGGAUCAAGAAUGUGAGACAAAAGCUAAAUGACAGCCUCUCUGCCAAGGACAAGAGCGGGAAGGAUUGGUCAUUCAUACUCAAGCAGAUUGGCAUGUUCUCAUUUACAGGCUUGAGCAAAACACAGGUAAUUUCCC
rnacentral:lncRNA from 1 species